AACGGUGUGGCAGCGAGCGAUCGAGCGAAAGGCACAAAUCGCAAACGGCAGCCACUUUUGCGGUGGAAGGAAACCACCGAAAGGGUUUGUUUCAGUAGCGGCAACGCUUGGAGCGACAAAGCGCGACCAGGAAUGGUCUGGAAUUUUCCACAGUUGUUAGACCGACCACACGGCCCCACCCCCGUAGCAAGCACAUUGAGUGUUUGUGUGUGUGUGUGUGUGUGUGUGUGAGUGUGUGUGUGUGUGUGUGAGUGUGUUUAAUUGCAUUUAAAAAAAAAGACAAAACAAUGCACACACUACAAUCGAACGGAAAAGCGAACGCUAAUUAGUGUCUGUGAGUGUGUGUGUGUGUGUACGGUUGUGUUGUGACGUUUGUAGCAAAUUCUGAAUCACAUUAGACAAGAACAACAACAAAAAGGGGCAUUUUUCUUCAUCAGCGCCAACUUCGAUAAGGUUGAUGAAAAGCGCAAUCGAUGGCAGCGCUUGUGAGGGAGAAAUGCGAAAAAAAUAAUAAACACAAAAACACUCACACACACACAGCAUCCUCUUCUGCCCCUUCCCCAUCCACCCUCUAGCAUCGUAGUAUGCACGGCAGUGCGCGCGUCGUGUGCCAGCAAACGUCGGUCGUCGUCGCUGACGGGAAUGUCAAGAAAUUGCGUUGUACGAAAUGUGUGCAAAUUCCCUCGGGAACCUCGGGAACUGUGGGGCGGUAGGAGGAGGAAAGCGGGGGAGAAGAGGUGGCGCGUUAGGCAGAGUGUGUUAUAUGCCGGUACACGCGGGUGGGGCUGUGUGCGAUGAUCACACAGAAUGAUGCUGUCGAUGUGUUGGUGAUGAAAUGGGACGGUUCUUCGUGUGUGUGUGUGUGUGUGUCUGUAUGCGCGUUCGUUAUCCGUGUUGGACCCGGGCUUGGAGUAGGGAUUGGAUGUUGUUUGUUUUGUUCCCGCACUCAACCAUCGUCAGCCGAAUGGAGCAGAAGCGCCGUGGCCCUAGUAGUAGCAGCAGCAGCAGCAGAAGGUUGUCGCUCGCCUGCCGGGUUCACCUGUGCGCGGUUGCUGUGUGGUGUUGGCUGCUGCUGCUGAGUGAACACGCCAAUUAGUUGACCGACGUACGCCGGACUAGCGUGGCUACACUGGAACCAAACAUUAGCUCUCAAACGAUUAACCGUGUGUGUGGGUGAAGUGUAUUUUUACUUUUUUUCUGUGCUUUGUUAAAUUUUAAAAAAUGCUUCGUGUGUGACGUUAUUUCGACCUGUAUUAUCAAUGAAAUUCUCCUAUCGCUGCCCACAUGUGUGUGUUUGUUGUGCCAGUGUGCUUAAAAUGGAGAAAAAUGCGCUCUAAAAACAGGUGAAUUUAAACAAAACAAAAAUUUGGUGCAAAGGAGUGUAAAAUACUCAAAAUACCCAUUAGAAUGCUGUGAAAUGUAGUGUAGUGGUGUGAUAGUGUUAUAAAACUGCACCUCUUCCCAUGUAACGAUGCCGUGUGCGUUUCGAUGUGCAACAAAAGAAAGGAACACAAUUUCAUCGCUCGAUUGAAAUCGAAAGCCAACAGCAGUGAAGCAGUGCGCAUAGGUAAAGGACGGUUUCGAUCGAUUUCAUAUCACCUGAUCCCGGUCCUUCACACGGUGUGCGAGAGGAUGCACAAAAAUGCACCACCACACCGACGGCCGACUGCACUUCUCGCUGGUUCAGCUGCGCAUUGGAAAAAAGGGAAAGCUCCCAGUUGCCGUUGUUGCUGCUCGCUCUGGCGUUACUGAUGGGCAUAGAGCGACGAGUGUGAGCGAGAGUGAUUGUACAAAAACACAACCAAACGAGCAGAGACAGGAUGGAGGCGAAUAAAUUUCGCUAACAUCAAAAAAUCAUUUUGGCACUCUUCCCGCGGCGCUAAAGGUGAAAAUGAGCCAACGAAACAAUUGCACCACACACAAACACUUGCAAACCCCAUGUGCCAACGUUUACACGUUGGUUAGCACAGCGCACCACCAACACUGUGAACACGGGCAAUGGGGACGCAAAGAGUGACAAGCAUUGAAAACAAAAAAAAACAUCCAUAGAAGUAGGCCACCGCGAAGAAGUCCGACAUAAAGCGAAUACCAUCCGGACAGUGCUCGCUGAGGGAGAGCAUCCGACCUCCGAAAGGCGAAUCGCCCCUGGAGAGAUAGAGAGAGACAGUAUGUGGUAAUAAUACACACAGACACACAUACUGGGCAGCAAAUUGCAAAUACCUUGAACUUGUAACGGAAGCGACCGAUCAAUGGUGCACCCUGAAGAGAUGGCAGCACCAGUGGAGCGGAGCUCUGCCCAGUGAACAUCACCCCAAACACUGACAUCUCACGCUACCCCUAGCGAUGAAAGCGAAAGACAUUCGCGAAAGCAUAACCCCUGUACGCGUUCCGUGCGAGGGAGCGAGCGAGUCGGCUGGUUUCGCACAGAUGGCGGGAUUUCUGGGUGCCUAAGCGCAAGAAGAGACCCCAAGACGAACGGCUGGGGCAGUAACAGCUGCUACACUCUGCCCGAUCCACCCCAUCCAACCGACACCCGUCGCAUAUAAGGGGGUUGAAACAAAAAAGAAAAGAAAUAGGGGGGAAACCAGAUAAGGGGCCACAGUUGUUAAACUUGAACUUGAACGUGAAAAAGGCCCCGCUCGGUUGGCAUGACACCAACAUGCGCACAGCACACAGCGACCCGAUAGCAGCCAAUCGAUGUGUACGGCUGCGAUGGUAUUGGUGUGCUUCGGGCGGCUCCAUUCCCACUGAGCGAGAAUGGCGAUCGCCAUUCCCAUCCCCGCGUAGUGCUCUCCACGAUCUCGCUGACACACAACGCAGGUCGGAUAUGGCGGCUCACGCACACCAGAGCAUUCUCCAUCACUUGUCUCCACGAAACCGACACGAACGAACAUGGCACCCCUACCCCCGGGUGCGAAACGUACGAUUGGUACGUGAGGGGAUGAUUCAUUUCGCCGCGGUUCUUCGCCCCCUUCGUCCAUGUAACGUUGCUGGCCACCGUGAGUGCCCGUCCGGUUACAUCACACACACCGUUCAAUGGUGCUGGAAAUGGAAUAUAGCUUCGAACUUUUUUUUUUUUUGGGGCAAAAUUCUCAACUCAACUGCUAAGAAUAGAUGGUUUUGUUGUAAUUUUAA